AGGGUGACAGGUGCUGCAUGGCUGUCGUCAGCUCGCGUCGUGAGAUGUUGGGUUAAGUCCCGCAACGAGCGCAACCCCUAUCUUUAAUUGCCAUCAUCCAGUUGGGCACUUUAGAGAGACUGCCGGUGUUAAGCCGGAGGAAGGUGGGGAUGACGUCAAGUCCUCAUGGCCUUUAUGUCUAGGGCUACACACGUGCUACAAUGGCCGGUACAAAGAGCAGCGAAGCCGCGAGGUGGAGCGAAUCUCACAAAGCCGGUCUCAGUUCGGAUCGGGAGUCUGCAACUCGACCCCGUGAAGUCGGAAUCGCUAGUAACCGUGGGUCAGCAACACCGCGGUGAAUACGUUCCCGGGCCUU
rnacentral:rRNA from 1 species